rnacentral:rRNA from 1 species
UACGUAGGGACCAAGCGUUGUUCGGAUUUACUGGGCGUAAAGGGCGCGUAGGCGGCGUGACAAGUCACUUGUGAAAUCUCUGGGCUUAACCCAGAACGGCCAAGUGAAACUGUUGUGCUAGAGUGCAGAAGGGGCAAUCGGAAUUCUCGGUGUAGCGGUGAAAUGCGUAGAUAUCGAGAGGAACACCUGCGGCGAAGGCGGGUUGCUGGGCUGAUACUGACGCUGAGGCGCGAAAGCCAGGGGAGCGAACGGG